AGUGAACGCUGGCGGUAGGCCUAACACAUGCAAGUCGAACGGCAGCACAGUAAGAGCUUGCUCUUACGGGUGGCGAGUGGCGGACGGGUGAGGAAUACAUCGGAAUCUACUUUUUCGUGGGGGAUAACGUAGGGAAACUUACGCUAGUACCUCAUACGACCUACGGGUGAAAGCAGGGGAUCUUCGGACCUUGCGCGAUCGAAUGAGCCGAUGUCGGAUUAGCUAGUUGGCGGGGUAAAGGCCCACCAAGGCGACGAUCCGUAGCUGGUCUGAGAGGAUGAUCAGCCACACUGGAACUGAGACACGGUCCAGACUCCUACGGGAGGCAGCAGUGGGGAAUAUUGGACAAUGGGCGCAAGCCUGAUCCAGCCAUACCGCGUGGGUGAAGAAGGCCUUCGGGUUGUAAAGCCCUUUUGUUGGGAAAGAAAAGCAGCAGGUUAAUACCCCGCUGUUCUGACGGUACCCAAAGAAUAAGCACCGGCUAACUUCGUG
rnacentral:rRNA from 1 species